GAAAAUCGCCUGUCGUCCUUGGCGCAUUCACUUUCCCACAACUCGGAUCCGUACUGCGGUCCUACCGAGUGCCAAGUACUGGACAUUCAGCAUAGAUAGCACAUUGCCCCAGUUGUAGACAAGCUCACAAAUUAGCAGGGACGCUGUUACAGCAAUUACAGCACAGUGUAACGAGUGCUUUUAUGAGGUGCGUGCUAAAAUUUGUGCCAGCGAGCACGUUCUGCCCCGUGACUUAAGACCCCACAACUGAACUGGGUUUUGGGGCAUGUGUGUAAGGGUUGUCACGUAAGGAGUGUGCAUGAGGGAGGGAGGAGGUAUUCCAAGGAGAAGAAAAAGGUGUGCUAAGACAUUAGGGGUGAAAGAGCAAUAUUGUAGGAGGAAAGAGGAAAGUUACUCUUGAUUAUAGGCUCGAGUGUGCAGAAUGUGGAGUUGGCAGUGUUGAGACUCUUGGGGUCAAAUUUUGAAUGGCUCAUUGUAUCCCAUAGAAGAGUUGGGACUUUAUCUCCCAGCAGUGGGAGUUUGCAAGAAGCUUCAAGCAGGUGGCCCUGACCUUCUUACCAUUAUGUCCUGGGUGCCCAGGCUAAAGUCCGCACACAGCAGGGACUCAGUAAAUACUAGUGGAAUGAAUGUCAACUAUAUGCCAGGCCUUGGCUAGGUGCUUGCAUACACCUACUUAUUUAAUACUCCCAGCAUCCCUGCGAGCAUCUGGCUGUUUGUCCCAGUCCCCACAAUGCAGUGCCAGAUAAGAGCACUGUGCAAGAGAUUUAUGAGGGAAAUGGACAAAGAGCUGGAUCUGGGGUGCAGGUGUGAUCCUUGAAAAGGAAAGAGGCAAGGAAGUAAGGUUGGAUGGAAGGAAGCAUCUUAUACUGUAGUCAAUGCUAAGAUUAAAGUUCAGCAAGUCCCUGGAGGUUCCUUGAGCCAAAUUGGCCUGUUCUAGAAAUCCAACAGUUGCCAGACAUAGGCCUCUUGUGCUUAGUCAUAGGCUGCCAGCAGCCCAAGGAAACUGGCCUCGGCACUGACUUGGGGAUGAGUAUCAGAGGACAGAUUUCAGAGCUCAGCCGCUGGGGCAGGGCCAUUGGUUAGUUACAUUCUGCAUUGGAAGAUAUGAGAUGUACAUUUGCUUGGCCACUAUAGUAGUUAUUAUUCCAUUUUACACGCAAGGAAACAAUGGCUCUAAGAGUUAAGUAACCUAACAAGCUCAACCAGUUUCCUAAGUGGUGGAUCCUGCCUGCACCAGAAUGCAGGCCUGAUGGCUUCCAAAGCCCUUAUGUUUUCUACCCUGUGCAUUGUUGCCUCUGAGCUGCCAUCAGUGAGAAUCUAGGGACAGGGAGUUCAGCUGGGAGACUUUGCUAAGGACUUGGUGAGAUGCUAUGAUGCAUUAAAAAUGGUGGCAAAUUCUUUGACACUCCUGUUGAGAAGUGUGGGUCUAUACCAGCGGUCCUCAACCUUUUUGGCACCAGGGAGGGACUGGUGCUCCUAUGAAAAUCUAAUGCCUGAUGAUCUGAGGUGUAGCUGAGCCAGUGAUGCUGGCGCUGGGGAGCAGCUGCAAAUACAGAUGAAGUUUCACUCACUCACAUGCUGCUCACCUCCUGUCGUGCAGCCCCGUUCCUAACAGACCACUAACUGGUAACUGUCCGUGGCCUGGGAGUUGGGGACCCCUGGUCUAUAUCUUCUUCAUUUAAAUUUGGGCUGGAAUUAGUGAUUUGUUAAAUCAACGUAAUACGGUGGAAAUCACCAUAUCCUGGAACUUCCGAAGUUAGAUGAUGAUAAACACCUUGCAACUUUUGCCUGGGCCUCUGGAAAUUGUUGCUCUUAGAUCCCUGAGCCACUACUAAGUCAGCUCCCCUGAGGUCUCCAUGCUGGAGAGAAUGUGGGAGAAACUGCAGAAAGACACCUUGAGCCUGCAGGAAGAGAGGUACCCUGUUGGCCCCCCACUGUCUCCAGCUAUUCGAGUCUGGGGCCCCAGGCAUAAGGAACAGAGUGGUCCCUCCUUGCCCUGCCUAAAAUGCAAAAUAAAGGAUCGUUUUCAGCCACAAGUUUGGCCUAGCAUGUUACUCAGUUUUAGAUAACUGGAACAGAUUAUGAAAGCAGGGCUGACUCUGGGACAUUGGCAAUGACAGUGGCUGCCUACUCCCAGCUCUACCCAGCUAUAGCUACUAAAGGUCUUCGAGCAGCAGCCCCAGAGAACCAGGCCUGGGGAGGGUCUGGAAUUAUUCAAAUCUUCCAAGCCUUGUGGUCACAGUGCCUGUGGGGUCUCCAGUCCUCAUGUACCCACAGUCGGCAGCCUUUCCCUAUCCUCAAUCCUGCCCUAUAUCUCCUUUAGGUUGAAGUUAUCUAACUAAGCUCUUCCCUAUGUCCCAGUUUGCUUAAGGGGCCAUGCCAGCCUACUCACUCUCACUCAUCCCCGCCUAUUCACUCUCACUCAUCCCCUUCCUAGGCAUUGGAUGGAGUCCUCUGCAGUCUGUGUCUUUUUCUUCACUAACUAGAAAAAAGAAAACCUGCCUGCCUGAUUAUUCAGCACCUGGAGGCUCACGCUCAGAUUGAACCCUCCCUCCUCUUCCUAAUGAAGACCAGAUUUUCUGUUUGCUGGCUCCAUUCUUAAGAGCAAACUCCAUAGUUAACCAUCCACUCCAGCCUUAGGUCACAAAUCCUAGUUCAGUCUUCCUUCUCACUGUUCACUGAUGUCCCUUCUUGCCUCUUGUCUGGGCCACUAGGGAGUAACAGACUGUGGGGAUGGGGGGAGGGACCCAGAUUUGAUAAACACAUCUCCAUAUGAGGAGAGUUUCCGAACAAGGGUGUCCAACUCAGCUGCCCUCGGUUCACCUUCCCUUAGAGGCUCUCUCACCUGGCCACCCCCACUCUGUUGUUCCCACUGUCGGGUGUUUGGUAAGCUGCUUCCCCUUUAAAACUCUGGUCCAAACUGGACAAAAACCUCUUUCUUGAUUCUUAGCACAGCUGACCAGACUAGCAUUUUAAAGAUGUACUAAAAACUAAGAACAGAAAAGAUCUAAUUAUAGAAAAUACAAACGGCUUUAUAAAAACAACUCAUGUUCCCAAAAUUGCAGUCUGUGAUCCCACAGUAAUUUCCGUCUUGUUGUAAGGAGCUGACACAACUUUUUAGCAACUGGCCUGGCUAUCUUGGUGUUGCGUUCCAUCUUCUUCUCCACCCCAAGGCAGCUACUGGCAGGGACUUUACCCAAAGCCCCCAAAUUCUCAUACAAGCUUCCCAAAGCUUGUAUGAGGAGAGUUUGGUACCUCCUUAUUUCUGAUCUAUGGGACAUGUCACCUCCACUGCUAAUUGGCCCUAUUAAGUCUUUUUUUGUGCCAUAGAAUCAUAUGACCCUACAAGUGGAACUCCACAUCUCUGUAGAGGGAAUGGCUGCUACAUGGCAAGUACACAGACUAAUAACCCCUUGUCGCACUCUGGAGGGUCAGACGGUGUGGGAAGAGAUUACUGCUGCUACUGGUUAGAAGGGGAGGCUGAUGCCCUGACAGGAAGACAAUUAGUUUUCCCGGCGACCUCACUAUAUCUAAAAUCAGAAGAACAAGAACUUUGAGAAUAGCGAGUGCCUUUAGGAAUGAACGACUGUUGGUACCCAUUACGAAUUACACAAUCAUUCGGGACUUAGGAAAAGAACUUCCUUCACAGACUCUAAGACAGACUCCAUGACAACAGACUCUAAACCCUGGGGAAGGAAGAAAGGUUUGUUGCGCCCCACCUUAAAUUUAGAAUAUUGAUAUUAUACUCAAAGGUUAAGCAUAUAGUCGUUGUGUACUUUUAUGCUAAAGGUGUUAAUGUGUUAAAUGUAAACAUUUAAAAUACACCACAAUUUUUACAACCCUGUCUGGUAGACAGUCUCCAAAUAUGAUGGUCAACACCUCUUCCUUUCUUCAUAGGCUCCUGCUGCUCCUGUGAUCCAGGUGGAGUUUGUUCCUCUCCGCUUAUGUCUGAGUUGGCCUUGGGUCCUGCUUCGACCAGUACAACGUGAAGAAACUGAUGACAGUGACCGGGUCUAGAUCUAGGCCUUAAGGGAUUUGGCAGCUUCUUCCUUUACCUUCUCAGGCUCCAGCUGCCAUGUUAGAAGCUCGGAUUUCACGACUAGGUGGAGAGGGACCCUGGAGAAUGACAGGCCAUCAGGGACGUCACAGCCCAUCUAACUCCCGGAUGAAUAUCGUCGUAUGCUACAUGGAGCAGAAACGAGGCGCCAUCCCUGCUGAGCCCUGCCCAAACGACAGAAUUGUGACAAAAUGAAUGAAGUGCCCCACAGGAUUGCUGGCCACCACACUGACCUCAUUCUCUGAAAUGCUUUGAAAUGAUUAUCCAGGAGUCUCCUGUAUGGAUCCAACUUCAAAGAAGAUUAUUAUUCAGCUAACUUUACAACUGUUGGUUUCGAAACAUUUCCAGUUCUCUGGUAAACAGCAAACAUUGUUUCCUUUUAGCCUCAAUAAAGAAUGUUUUAGUAUA